UACAGAGGGUGCGAGCGUUAAUCGGAUUUACUGGGCGUAAAGCGUGUGUAGGCGGUUCGUUAAGUCGGAUGUGAAAGCCCUGGGCUCAACCUAGGAAUUGCAUUCGAUACUGGCGAGCUAGAGUACGGUAGAGGGCGGCGGAAUUCCGGGUGUAGCGGUGAAAUGCGUAGAUAUCCGGAGGAACACCGAUGGCGAAGGCAACCGCCUGGGCCUGUACUGACGCUGAGACACGAAAGCGUGGGGAGCAAACAGG
rnacentral:rRNA from 2 species